UACGUAGGGCGCAAGCGUUGUCCGGAAUCAUUGGGCGUAAAGAGCGUGUAGGCGGUCCGUUAAGUCGGCUGUGAAAGUCCAAGGCUCAACCUUGGGAUGCCGGUCGAUACUGCCGGACUAGAGUUCGGAAGAGGCGAGUGGAAUUCCUGGUGUAGCGGUGAAAUGCGCAGAUAUCAGGAAGAACACCCGUGGCGAAGGCGGCUCUCUGGAACGCAACUGACGCUGAGACGCGAAAAGCGUGGGGAGCAAACAGG
rnacentral:rRNA from 1 species